rnacentral:rRNA from 1 species
AGAGUUUGAUCCUGGCACAGGACGAACGCUGGCGGCGCGCCUAACACAUGCAAGUCGAACGAGCGAGAGAGAGCUUGCUUUCUCGAGCGAGUGGCGAACGGGUGAGUAACGCGUGAGGAACCUGCCUCAAAGAGGGGGACAACAGUUGGAAACGACUGCUAAUACCGCAUAAGCCCACGACCCGGCAUCGGGAAGAGGGAAAAGGAGCAAUCCGCUUUGAGAUGGCCUCGCGUCCGAUUAGCUAGUUGGUGAGGUAACGGCCCACCAAGGCGACGAUCGGUAGCCGGACUGAGAGGUUGAACGGCCACAUUGGGACUGAGACACGGCCCGGACUCCUACGGGAGGCAGCAGUGGGGAAUAUUGCACAAUGGGGGAAACCCUGAUGCAGCGACGCCGCGUGGAGGAAGAAGGUCUUCGGAUUGUAAACUCCUGUUGUUGAGGAAGAUAAUGACGGUACUCAACAAGGAAGUGACGGCUAACUACGUGCCAGCAGCCGCGGUAAAACGUAGGUCACAAGCGUUGUCCGGAAUUACUGGGUGUAAAGGGAGCGCAGGCGGGAAGACAAGUUGGAAGUGAAAUCCAUGGGCUCAACCCAUGAACUGCUUUCAAAACUGUUUUUCUUGAGUAGUGCAGAGGUAGGCGGAAUUCCCGGUGUAGCGGUGGAAUGCGUAGAUAUCGGGAGGAACACCAGUGGCGAAGGCGGCCUACUGGGCACCAACUGACGCUGAGGCUCGAAAGUGUGGGUAGCAAACAGGAUUAGAUACCCUGGUAGUCCACACCGUAAACGAUGAUUACUAGGUGUUGGAGGAUUGACCCCUUCAGUGCCGCAGUUAACACAAUAAGUAAUCCACCCGGGGAGUACGACCGCAAGGUUGAAACUCAAAGGAAUUGACGGGGACCCGCACAAGCGGUGGAGCAUGUGGUUUAAUUCGAAGCAACGCGAAGAACCUUACCUGCUCUUGACAUCCCAUUCGAUAGAAGGUAAUGUUUCUAGCCCUUCGGGGGAAUGGAGACAGGUGGUGCAUGGUUGUCGUCAGCUCGUGUCGUGAGAUGUUGGGUUAAGUCCCGCAACGAGCGCAACCCUUAUUGUCAGUAGCCAGCAGGUGAAGCUGGGCACUCUGAUGAGACUGCCGGGGAUAACCCGGAGGAAGGUGGGGAUGACGUCAAAUCAUCAUGCCCCUUAUGAGCGGGGCUACACACGUGCUACAAUGGCGUAAACAGAGGGAAGCGAAGGAGUGAUCCGGAGCAAAUCUCAAAAAUAACGUCUCAGUUCGGAUUGUAGUCUGCAACUCGACUACAUGAAGCUGGAAUCGCUAGUAAUCGCAGAUCAGAAUGCUGCGGUGAAUACGUUCCCGGGUCUUGUACACACCGCCCGUCACACCAUGGGAGUCGGUAAUGCCCGAAGUCAGUGACUCAACCGAAAGGAGAGAGCUGCCGAAGGCAGGACUGGUAACUGGGGUGAAGUCGUAACAAGGUA